GAUGAAGAACGCAGCGAAAUGCGAUAAGUAAUGUGAAUUGCAGAAUUCCAGUGAGUCAUCGAAUCUUUGAACGCACAUUGCGCCCUUUGGUAUUCCGAAGGGCAUGCCUGUUCGAGCGUCAUUAUCACCCCUCAAGCCCUCGGCUUGGUGUUGGAAGGUUUGGUGGAGGCCCCCUCGGGGGCUCCUGCCCCUCCCAAAGACAAUGACGGCGGCCUCGUUGGACCCCCGGUACACUGAGUUCUUCACGGGACACGUAUCGGACACAUGGGUUUACGGGACACGGUCUGCCUCCCCUCAGGGAGAAUCUUUCUAAGGUUGACCUCGGAUCAGGUAGGGAUACCCGCUGAACUUAAGCAUAUCAAUAAGCGGAGGA
rnacentral:misc_RNA from 1 species